UGAGUGACAUGAUGAAGCUGUUAAUGCGAAUCCAAAUGCAUAGUGUGGACAACCUACCUUGGAGAACUGAUCGCUCA